CUGGUGAGUAACACGUGGGAAACCUGCCCAGAAGCGGGGGAUAACACCUGGAAACAGAUGCUAAUACCGCAUAACAACUUGGACCGCAUGGUCCGAGCUUGAAAGAUGGCUUCGGCUAUCACUUUUGGAUGGUCCCGCGGCGUAUUAGCUAGAUGGUGGGGUAACGGCUCACCAUGGCAAUGAUACGUAGCCGACCUGAGAGGGUAAUCGGCCACAUUGGGACUGAGACACGGCCCAAACUCCUACGGGAGGCAGCAGUAGGGAAUCUUCCACAAUGGACGAAAGUCUGAUGGAGCAACGCCGCGUGAGUGAAGAAGGGUUUCGGCUCGUAAAACUCUGUUGUUAAAGAAGAACAUAUCUGAGAGUAACUGUUCAGGUAUUGACGGUAUUUAACCAGAAAGCCACGGCUAACUACGUGCCAGCAGCCGCGGUAAUACGUAGGUGGCAAGCGUUGUCCGGAUUUAUUGGGCGUAAAGCGAGCGCAGGCGGUUUUUUAAGUCUGAUGUGAAAGCCUUCGGCUCAACCGAAGAAGUGCAUCGGAAACUGGGAAACUUGAGUGCAGAAGAGGACAGUGGAACUCCAUGUGUAGCGGUGAAAUGCGUAGAUAUAUGGAAGAACACCAGUGGCGAAGGCGGCUGUCUGGUCUGUAACUGACGCUGAGGCUCGAAAGUAUGGGUAGCAAACAGGAUUAGAUACCCUGGUAGUCCAUACCGUAAACGAUGAAUGCUAAGUGUUGGAGGGUUUCCGCCCUUCAGUGCUGCAGCUAACGCAUUAAGCAUUCCGCCUGGGGAGUACGGCCGCAAGGCUGAAACUCAAAGGAAUUGACGGGGGCCCGCACAAGCGGUGGAGCAUGUGGUUUAAUUCGAAGCUACGCGAAGAACCUUACCAGGUCUUGACAUACUAUGCAAAUCUAAGAGAUUAGACGUUCCCUUCGGGGACAUGGAUACAGGUGGUGCAUGGUUGUCGUCAGCUCGUGUCGUGAGAUGUUGGGUUAAGUCCCGCAACGAGCGCAACCCUUAUUAUCAGUUGCCAGCAUUAAGUUGGGCACUCUGGUGAGACUGCCGGUGACAAACCGGAGGAAGGUGGGGAUGACGUCAAAUCAUCAUGCCCCUUAUGACCUGGGCUACACACGUGCUACAAUGGAUGGUACAACGAGUUGCGAACUCGCGAGAGUAAGCUAAUCUCUUAAAGCCAUUCUCAGUUCGGAUUGUAGGCUGCAACUCGCCUACAUGAAGUCGGAAUCGCUAGUAAUCGCGGAUCAGCAUGCCGCGGUGAAUACGUUCCCGGGCCUUGUACACACCGCCCGUCACACCAUGAGAGUUUGUAACACCCAAAGUCGGUGGGGUAACCUUU
rnacentral:rRNA from 1 species